rnacentral:rRNA from 1 species
AACGAACGCUGGCGGCAUGCCUAACACAUGCAAGUCGAACGAGACCUUCGGGUCUAGUGGCGCACGGGUGCGUAACGCGUGGGAACCUGCCCUUAGGUUCGGAAUAACUCCCCGAAGGGGGUGCUAAUACCGGGUAAUUUCUUCGGACCAAAGAUUUAUCGCCCUUGGAUGGGCCGGGGUUGGUUUAGCUAGUGGGGAGGGUAAAAGCCCACCUAGGCUACGAUCCGUAGCUGGUCUGAGAGGAUGCUCGGCCACACUGGAACUGAGACACGGUCCAGACUCCUAAGGGAGGCAGCAGUGGGGAAUAUUGGACAAUGGGCGCAAGCCUGAUCCAGCCAUACAGCGUGGGUGAAGAAGGCCUUCGGGUUGUAAAGCCCUUUUGUUGGGAAAGAAAAGCAGCAGGUUAAUACCCCGCUGGUCUGACGGUACCCAAAGAAUAAGCACCGGCUAACUUCGUG